CGAGUGUCCGGUGUGCGUGAUGUCCCGGGGUGAUGUGCUUUGAGGCCUUCGCUUCUCCGUUGCCCUCCCUCCACUCCUCCGUCUCAUCUAAAAGCCGCAAAAGGUUCCUUCUCUCCUCUGUAUCAAUCUCGUCCCAGACUGGCGGGUCUCAGGGUAGAUGCUGCGUUCACCUCCGAAUACUGCAGUUCCUCUGUCCUUCACAGCAACUGCCGGGUCCAGAGUGUUGAUCACUGUGGCCUGGUCUGGGCUUUGUCUGGCCGCGAAUCAUGGCUCCUUUCAGCAAGUUAUGCCUUCCCUUUACCCCUGCCCAGUAUCUUUGGCUAUACCAGGCGUCUCCAAAUUGCUCUGCCCCACGAGCUGAGGAAUCUGAAGCCGCAAGAGAUAAAGAAACUUGCCCAGGAGAUCACACAGCUAAGGAGAUGUGGAGCCAGGAUUUGAGCAUUGCCAGUUUGAUUUUUAACUUGUAUUGUCUAGGUUGUCAUCUUGAGCUUUGGAUUUAUUAAAAACAAACAAACCAACCCAUUGCCGUCGAGUUGGUUCCAACUCAUAGCGACCCGAUAGGACAGAGUGGAAUUGCACCAUAGGAUUUCCAAGUAGUGGCUGGUGGAUUCAAACUGCUGACCUUUUGGUUAGCAGCUGAGCUCUUAACUACUGUGCCACCAGGGCUCUUUUGGGUUUAUAGGACUUAUACUUUGUUUUAGGAUAUAGAGUAAUUAUAUAUUUUCCAAAUAUUCUGAUAAUGGGUGAUAGGUAAAUGUAGACUUUAUCCAGUAAUUUAAACUAGUUCAUUUCAUUUGUGCUCCCAUGCAUAAGAAAAUAGAUUUCUGCUUCCCAUCUGAUCUCAGAAAGCUGAGAAGAUUCAGGACUGAUUAGGAAUGAAUGUCAUUUAGCUCCAAAGUCUUCCUUUCUGAAAGAGGAAUUAAUAAAUAAUCAAAAGGCAUACAGCAGGAAGGAAAAGAACCUAUAUAAUUAAAAAUUGAAUGUACAGACUCAGAUAAUUGAGAAUUUACCACAUGGCUUGUUGGAGAGAACAUUCAACUAGAAGAUAGAAGGACAUAUGACUUUGAAAAAACCAACCUCCCAAACUGUCAGUUUCUUCAUCUAUUAAACAGCAGAGAUUUCUGUCCUGCCUGUCUUACUGGGUUGUUUCAAAAAUCAAAUGAGAUGCUGUAUGUGAAAGUAUGUUGAAAGUUGUAGAGUAGUGGUAUAUUAAUAACAGAAGUAUACAAUGAGAAGAAAUUUUAGAAGCUCUUGAAGUAGACCACCACUUGAGAGUCAAUUUGCAAACAUUUCUUUCAAUGGGAAAUAAAAAGAAUUUGAUGAUUACUUUGAAUUUGACCAAGAGUUUUGGAAUUGUUUUUAAAAGUGCUGUAUUUAAUUCUCUUAUAUUGGCCACAUAGAUACUUAUUUUAUUAAGGGUCUGGGAAUAAUUAACUUCCUUAACCUUCACUAAACAACAUUAGAGGAAAACAAAAGUGUCUCCCUAACACUUGAGCUAGGAACAAUACUAGGUAUAAAUCAUAAAGUCUGUUUUUUUGUACUUUUGAAAGUGUACUGUGUAAUGCAAUAAAUUACCUUCUUUGUUUUCAAUUUUUAAAAGUGAAUUUUAUAAUUAAUAAAGAACUUUUUUUCUCCACACACAAAAGGAAAACUAACAUAUAAUGCAUUUUCUAUUGUUCACAUAUUUUGUUGUUGGAAACCAUUUAGGAGAGCACUCGGUCAGAUAGAACGAAAAAGGGGAGAGAUUAUGCAGUUUGAGGCAGAAAAAUUGAGUUUCAGUUCUGUCACUAGCUGUGUGACUUAGGAUAAGUCACAAUCUCCCUGAGGCUCUGUUUAGUAGUCUGUAAAGUGAAUAUGUGGAAACCCUGGUGGUGUAGUGGUUAAGUGCUGGGGCUAUUAUCCAAAAUGUUGGCAGUUCAAAUCCACCAGGUGCUCCUUGGAAACUCUACGGGGCAGUUCUACUCUGCCGUACAGGGUUACUAUGAGUUGGAGUUGACUUAACAGCAAUGGGGUUUUUUUUUUUUUUAAGUGAAUAUAAUUCUGCCUUCUCACAAGGCUGUUAUGAUUAAAUAAGGGAAUAUAUGUAAAAGUGUUUGAUUAACUGUAAGACACUAAAUUUCAUACAUAAAAUACAAGCUUUUAAUUGUU